rnacentral:rRNA from 1 species
UCCAGGCCCUACGGGGCGCAGCAGGCGCGAAACCUCCGCAAUGCACGAAAGUGCGACGGGGGGACCCCAAGUGCCACUCUUAACGGGGUGGCUUUUAUGAAGUGUAAAAAGCUUUAAGAAUAAGGGCUGGGCAAGACCGGUGCCAGCAGCCGCGGUAAAAU